CCAGAGAGGACUUCGUGCAGGUCACCAAGGGCACCACCAACAUCUGCGUACUGCGCACGGUCAGCGUGGGCCUGAUGCUGCUGCGCGUGUGGGACCCCGAGCACCCCGGCCUCUCCGACUACGUGCCGCUGCCCGUCCUGCCGGCCAUCGCUCCAGAGCUGCCCGGCACCGUGGUGGUCGGGGAUGUCCUCUGCCUGGCCACUGCGCUCAUGGGCCCCAAGGGUGCCCCAGGAACCUGGAGCUCUUCAGCCGACAGCAUCCUCCAGGUCGACCCCAAGACGGGGGUGGCCGUGGCCCGGGACGCGGGGUCCGUGACGGUGCACUACGAGGUCUCCGGGCACCUGAGGACCUAAAAGGAGAUCGUGGUCAGUGUCCCCCAGAGGAUCGUGGCCCGGCGUGUCCACACGGCCCAGGCCAGCUUCCAGGGGGCCACAGCCUCCAGAGUGACCGUCACCGUGGGAGACAGAAGCUCUAACCUGAGAGGCGAGUGCUCCGCUGCCCAGAGGGUGGCCAUCCCGGCUCUGGGCCCCGAGGCCCUCCUCGGCUGCCAUCUUCGGUUCCAGCAGGACGUCUUCGACCUCCCGGUGACAGACGUGUUCUCGGCCGAGCCGGACUUCGACGUCACACUGGGCCAGUACCUCUGCACGGUCACCAUGCACAGGCUGACCGACGGGCAGCUGAGGCACCUGAGCUCGAGGAGGACACCCCUGGUGGUCACAGC